UACGUAGGUCCCGAGCGUUGUCCGGAUUUACUGGGUGUAAAGGGAGCGUAGGCGGCGCGUUAAGUCUGAUGUGAAAACCCGAGGCCCAACCACGGGAGUGCAUUGGAAACUGGCGGGCUGGAGUGCCGGAGAGGUAAGCGGAAUUCCUAGUGUAGCGGUGAAAUGCGUAGAUAUUAGGAGGAACACCAGUGGCGAAGGCGGCUUACUGGACGGCAACUGACGCUGAGGCUCGAAAGCGUGGGGAGCAAACAGG
rnacentral:rRNA from 1 species